GGAAAGUUGGCCGAGUUGGUUUAAGGCAGCAGUCUUGAAAACUGCCGGGUGUAACAGCUCCCUGGGUUCGAAUCCCAGACUUUCCGCCA
rnacentral:tRNA from 2 species